CCUACGGGAUGCAGCAGUGGGGGAUAUUGCACAAUGGGGGGAACCCUGAUGCAGCGACGCCGCGUGGGCGAUGGAGUGCUUCGGCAUUUAAAGCCCUAUCAGCAGGGGAGUAAAUUACGGUACCUGACUCAGAAGCCCCGGCUAAAUACGUGCCAGCCGCCGCGGUACUACGGAGGGGGCAAGCGUGAUCCGGAUUUACUGGGUGUAAUGGGAGCGUAGGCGGCGUGGCAAGCCUGAUGUGAAAGACCGGGGCCCAACCCCGGGGCUGCAUUGGGAACUGCCAGGCUGGAGUGCCGGAGAGGCAGGCGGAAUUCCUAGUGUAGCGGUGAAAUGCGUAGAUAUUAGGAGGAACACCAGUGGCGAAGGCGGCCUGCUGGACGGCGACUGACGCUGAGGCUCGAAAGCGUGGGGAGCAAACAGGAUUAGAUACCCGAGUAGUC
rnacentral:rRNA from 1 species